rfam:Ovis aries breed Texel chromosome 2, whole genome shotgun sequence.
UACUACCUGGCUCAGACGGUAAAGCGUCUGUCUACAAUGCAGGAGACCCGGGUUCGAUCCCUGGGUCAGAAA